rnacentral:rRNA from 1 species
UACGUAGGGUGCAAGCGUUAUUCGGAAUUACUGGGCGUAAAGCGUGCGCAGGCGGCUUGCCAAGUCAGAUGUGAAAGCCCCGGGCUCAACCCGGGAACUGCGUUUGAAACUGGCAGGCUAGAGUUUGGCAGAGGGGGGUGGAAUUCCACGUGUAGCAGUGAAAUGCGUAGAGAUGUGGAGGAACACCGAUGGCGAAGGCAGCCCCCUGGGCCAAAACUGACGCUCAGGCACGAAAGCGUGGGGAGCAAACAGG